UCCGUUGUUAUGAUGAAGUCCUUAAGACUAUUUAGGUUUGAUAAAAAGAGGAUUUAUCGUUUAGUCUUUAAAACUGUUCACGACCAAAUGAUAGGCUGUUAAUAAGGAUGACAGCUUCUAUCGAGCAUAGGUCGCUAUCGGCCAUAUGGGUUGGUUGUUUUCUUAACCAAGGAGUGUGGAGACACUGGUAUGGUAUACAGGUGAGAUGUAAGAGUACAUCAUCAUUGAAUGUGACCAACUCCAGAGCAUUCUGUUGUCGAGAAUAUCUUUGAUGGGAUAUAAGUAUAAGUGUCCCUUAGAUCUG
rnacentral:lncRNA from 1 species